GAUCAUGCAAAGCAUGAACAAAUGAUAGAUUAUGAUAGAUAAAUGAUAGAACAACUGACAAAUCCUUCCCAUCCAAAUAACAAAUGUGUCCCCAGGAAACCUUUCAUCUGUCCACCUUCUAGAAGGCAGUACACAAAAGCCCUUGUGCAAAUAAAAUUAUUACAAGACACUGAGCAAUACAAAAGACCCCAAACAAUAAAGGGUAGGAAGAAGAAACCUGUCCAAGAGCACAGAGCUGAGGUUGGUUUCAGCAGGUCUUCUGUCCCUUUUUUCUGUUCUCUUUCCCCUGUUCCCCUGAACAAAGGAAGUUUGUUGUCAGGUUCAAACAUUUCCUGGGCCUUGUCCGAGUUCCACCUUGUUUUCUUUUUCUCUUUUCCCCACCCUGUACAAAUAAAGCAAAAACCAACUGGCACCACCUGUGAGGAAAGGACAACUAAAUGCAGAAUUUUAUCUUUUCUUUCUUUUCUCCCUCCUUCUUUUUCCCUUUUUCUUGGCCAGAAAUUUUGGGCAAAGGACAAAAGGUAUUGUUGGGUAAGCAUAAUUCCAGGGGCUGAGUCACUAAAGCACUGGCUGCUGCUGGGGUACAGUAAGCCAAGCUGCUGCUUCACUAAGUGCAACAAAAAUGCCAGCAGCACCACUGCAAGCUCUGCUAGCCCCAAAGCACAAGGGACAACUGAAGAUCCACAUAGCACAAAAUGUGCAAAGAAAUUAAGUAAAAUACAAAUAUCCUCACCUAAGAAAUCUCAAGAGAAAGACUGUCACACCACAGAGACUGGGCUCUUCCCUGAAAACAGUAAAGGUUGUGAAGGUCACAGUAAAAAGUUACAGCCUUUACUUAUGACAAAGGAAGGCUCAGAUGCCUUCUUCAGUUCUUCAUCCAGGCCUGCUUUUUUGAUUUCACAACCCAAGUCAGACGCACAGCUGGUCAGUCCUGCAAGUGGCCUCUUUCCCCACCACUGUAAGCUCUGGCGGCAGGGAGCUCCCAUUGCUCCUGCAGCCCCAAGCACUGCUGAAGGGGCACGGGGCUUCCAAACAGCCCUACGAUGCAGAAAAUCAUCAGCCCAUUUCUGGCUGCAAAUUAAACGGUGCCCCAAGCGGGUACUUGCUCAGAGCAUGUUCUAAAGCACACUGUAGACCCUUGGAACUACAUGGCGCAUUUGGGGGAGCUGGAGCACUGGCUGUUUGUUUAUUUUAUGAUGCACUUUGGUCUCUCUCAGUUGCACUGUUAUCCUACACCUGUUUGCUCCCUUUCUCCAGGCUGAUAACAGGCAGCACGUUGUGCAGUGGGGGCCCGGCCUGGCUCUUUUU
rnacentral:lncRNA from 1 species